rnacentral:rRNA from 1 species
AUACGUAGGGGGCAAGCGUUGUCCGGAAUUACUGGGCGUAAAGGGCACGCAGGCGGUCCGGUCGGUCAGGAGUGAAAGUUUGCAGCUUAACUGUAAAGGUGCUUUUGAUACUGCCGGACUUGAGUCUCGGAGAGGUAAGCGGAAUUCCUAGUGUAGUAGUGAAAUGCGUAGAGAUUAGGAAGAACACCGGCGGCGAAGGCGGUUUACUGGAAGAGUACUGACGCUCAGGUGCGAAAGCGUGGGGAGCAAACAGGAUUAGAUACCCUGGUAUUCCACGCCGUAAACGAUGGAUACUAGGUGUUGGGGAAACUCAGUGCCGCAGUUAACACAAUAAGUAUCCCGCCUGGGGAGUACGCACGCAAGUGUGAAACUCAAAUGAAUUGACGGGG